rnacentral:rRNA from 1 species
CCUACGGGUGGCUGCAGUAGGGAAUAUUGGGCAAUGGAGGCAACUCUGACCCAGCCAUGCCGCGUGAAGGACGAAGGCGCUCAGCGUUGUAAACUUCUUUUAUCAAGGAAGAACGUUACCCCUGCGGGGGUAAGUGACGGUACUUGAGGAAUCAGCACCGGCUAACUCCGUGCCAGCAGCCGCGGUAAUACGGAGGGUGCAAGCGUUGUCCGGAUUUAUUGGGUUUAAAGGGUGCGUAGGUGGGUGCUUAAGUCUGGUUUGAAAGCGGGCAGCUC